UACCUUCAAUUUAUUGUAUGGUCAAAUUGUACGUCAAAAACUUCGUAAUAAUUAGGGUUUACACGGCGGUUGGACUGACCUCCGGCGGAAAUUAAUGGCUCCAAUAGGAAGCGCCGCCGCCGGUCAGCAACUUACCGCCGUAUCAACACUGAUUUCAAACCUCCAAAGGUGGCUACCGGAGUUCCACAAAUUGAAAUCCUCCGCCAUUGAAACUUCGUCGUAGAUCAUGUGGCGAAACUAAUUUUGAUUUAUCAAAGAAUGGGCAUAUUGAAGAAGCCCAAUGCAUAGUAAGAGGCCCAAUAAGUAAUUCUUACGGCCUUCGUCAACAGGACAUCGGAAAUCUGCUCAUCUGCUGUGCUCUUCUGCAAUUGCUACCCAGGGUAGGGUUUGCCAACAGAUUUUUUAUUCCUGCGAUUCAGGUUUUCUGGGCCAUAAAGAGGUUGUCUUGAUGGUGGUGGUGCCGUGCUCAGCUGCUACGCCGGGCAAGUUGGCAACAACAGCUGCCAUCUUCCUUACUGGUGCUGGAUUGUUCGGAUUUGGCCUGCAAGGUCUAUACGCAAAUGCAGGUCCACAUCAAGCAAAGAUCAAGGCUCGGAGCGAAUAUGUCCGAGAGAGGUUAUGUAAGAAAUAUGGGUACGAACUUUCUGGGCCAUACUUAAAAAUGCCGGACGAGAAACAAAAAUGAGAAUUCUUCAAAAUAUGCACACUAUAUGAUGCAUUUGUUGGUAAGAGAAUAAUAUUGUUUUAUUCAUCCUUAUACAAUAUUUAUUUAGUAUUUGAGCCAUCAAUGAUUAUAACCUCAAUAUAAUAGUAGUCAUUUGUAGAAUUAAUGAUCCAAAUCAUUAUUUAGUAUUCCCUUUGUCCUACUCACUGUGUUUUCACUGAAUUCCAAAGUGUAAUACCCACUGCCUGUUCAUCAAAUGCCUGCUGUGUAUGCUGUAUCUUAAAACA